rnacentral:rRNA from 1 species
UACGAAGGGGGCUAGCGUUGUUCGGAAUUACUGGGCGUAAAGCGCACGUAGGCGGAUCUUUAAGUCAGGGGUGAAAUCCUGGAGCUCAACUCCAGAACUGCCUUUGAUACUGGGGAUCUCGAGUCCGGGAGAGGUGAGUGGAACUGCGAGUGUAGAGGUGAAAUUCGUAGAUAUUCGCAAGAACACCAGUGGCGAAGGCGGCUCACUGGCCCGGUACUGACGCUGAGGUGCGAAAGCGUGGGGAGCAAACAGG